UACAGAGGUCCCAAGCGUUGUUCGGAUUCAUUGGGCGUAAAGGGUGCGUAGGUGGCGUCGUAAGUCGGGUGUGAAAUUUCGGAGCUCAACUCCGAAACUGCAUUCGAUACUGCAGUGCUUGAGGACUGGAGAGGAGACUGGAAUUUACGGUGUAGCAGUGAAAUGCGUAGAGAUCGUAAGGAAGACCAGUGGCGAAGGCGGGUCUCUAGACAGUUCCUGACACUGAGGCACGAAGGCCAGGGGAGCAAACGGG
rnacentral:rRNA from 1 species